rnacentral:rRNA from 1 species
UGCCAGCCGCCGCGGUAAUACGGAGGAUCCUAGCGUUAUUCGGAAUUACUGGGCGUAAAGCGAGCGUAGGCUGAUUUGUAAGUUGGAUGUGAAAUCCCAGAGCUUAACUCUGGAACUGCAUUUCGAACUGGCAGGCUAGAGUACAAGAGAGGGUGGUAGAAUUUCCUGUGUAGCGGUGAAAUGCGUAGAUAUAGGAAGGAAUACCAGUGGCGAAGGCGGCCACCUGGCUUGAUACUGACGCUGAGGUGCGAAAGCGUGGGGAGCGAACAGGAUUAGAUA